AGAGUUUGAUCAUGGCUCAGGACGAACGCUUGCGGCAUGCCUGAGAAAUGCAAGUCGAACGAGUUAAAGAGAGCAAUCUCUUUAGCUAGUGGCGAACGGUCGAGUAACACGUAAGCAACCUGCCCACCAGCGGGGGAUAAGCCGUCGAAAGACGGGGUAAUACCGCAUAUCUUCAUGUAGGACAUCCUUAAUGAAGAAAGAUUUAUCACUGGUGGAGGGGCUUGCGGCCUAUCAGCUAGUUGGUCGGGGUAACGGCCCACCAAGGCGACGACGGGUAGCUGGUCUGAGAGGACGGCCAGCCGGACUGGGACUGAGACACGGCCCAGACUCCUACGGGGGGCAGCAAUCAGGAAUCUUGCGCAAUGGGCGAAAGCCUGACGCAGCGAUGCCGCGUGGACGAUGAAGUCUUUCGGGAUGUAAAGUCCUUUUUCAGGGGAAGAUAAUGACGGUACCCUGAGAAUAAGCCCCGGCUAACUACGUGCCAGCAGCCGCGGUAAUACGUAGGGGGCGAGCGUUGUCCGGAAUUAUUGGGCGUAAAGAGCGUGUAGGCGGUUCGGUAAGUCUGCCGUGAAACCCUAGGGCUCAGCCCUAGGCGUGCGGUGGAUACUGCCGGGCUAGAGGGUGGUAGAGGCGAGUGGAAUUCCCGGUGUAGCGGUGAAAUGCGCAGAUAUCGGGAGGAACACCAGUAGCGAAGGCGGCUCGCUGGGCCAUUCCUGACGCUGAGACGCGAAAGCAUGGGGAGCGAACAGGAUUAGAUACCCUAGUAGUCC
rnacentral:rRNA from 1 species